AUGAACGCUAGCUACAGGCUUAACACAUGCAAGUCGAGGGGCAGCAUGGUCUUAGCUUGCUAAGGCCGAUGGCGACCGGCGCACGGGUGAGUAACACGUAUCCAACCUGCCGUCUACUCUUGGACAGCCUUCUGAAAGGAAGAUUAAUACAAGAUGGCAUCAUGAGUCCACAUGUUCACAUGAUUAAAGGUAUUCCGGUAGACGAUGGGGAUGCGUUCCAUUAGAUAGUAGGCGGGGUAACGGCCCACCUAGUCUUCGAUGGAUAGGGGUUCUGAGAGGAAGGUCCCCCACAUUGGAACUGAGACACGGUCCAAACUCCUACGGGAGGCAGCAGUGAGGAAUAUUGGUCAAUGGGCGAGAGCCUGAACCAGCCAAGUAGCGUGAAGGAUGACUGCCCUAUGGGUUGUAAACUUCUUUUAUAAAGGAAUAAAGUCGGGUAUGCAUACCCGUUUGCAUGUACUUUAUGAAUAAGGAUCGGCUAACUCCGUGCCAGCAGCCGCGGUAAUACGGAGGAUCCGAGCGUUAUCCGGAUUUAUUGGGUUUAAAGGGAGCGUAGAUGGAUGUUUAAGUCAGUUGUGAAAGUUUGCGGCUCAACCGUAAAAUUGCAGUUGAUACUGGAUAUCUUGAGUGCAGUUGAGGCAGGCGGAAUUCGUGGUGUAGCGGUGAAAUGCUUAGAUAUCACGAAGAACUCCGAUUGCGAAGGCAGCCUGCUAAGCUGCAACUGACAUUGAGGCUCGAAAGUGUGGGUAUCAAACAGGAUUAGAUACCCUGGUAGUCCACACGGUAAACGAUGAAUACUCGCUGUUUGCGAUAUACUGCAAGCGGCCAAGCGAAAGCGUUAAGUAUUCCACCUGGGGAGUACGCCGGCAACGGUGAAACUCAAAGGAAUUGACGGGGGCCCGCACAAGCGGAGGAACAUGUGGUUUAAUUCGAUGAUACGCGAGGAACCUUACCCGGGCUUAAAUUGCAGAUGAAUUACGGUGAAAGCCGUAAGCCGCAAGGCAUCUGUGAAGGUGCUGCAUGGUUGUCGUCAGCUCGUGCCGUGAGGUGUCGGCUUAAGUGCCAUAACGAGCGCAACCCUUGUUGUCAGUUACUAACAGGUUCUGCUGAGGACUCUGACAAGACUGCCAUCGUAAGAUGUGAGGAAGGUGGGGAUGACGUCAAAUCAGCACGGCCCUUACGUCCGGGGCUACACACGUGUUACAAUGGGGGGUACAGAGGGCCGCUACCACGCGAGUGGAUGCCAAUCCCAAAAACCUCUCUCAGUUCGGACUGGAGUCUGCAACCCGACUCCACGAAGCUGGAUUCGCUAGUAAUCGCGCAUCAGCCACGGCGCGGUGAAUACGUUCCCGGGCCUUGUACACACCGCCCGUCAAGCCAUGGGAGCCGGGGGUACCUGAAGUGCGUAACCGCGAGGAGCGCCCUAGGGUAAAACUGGUGACUGGGGCU
rnacentral:rRNA from 1 species